AGACUGGACCUGUUCAGUUAUCCUACUUCAAAUGAUUAGUGGAUCCAGUAAGAUCACACGGAGUGCUUUGGGAUUCAUAUGAGAAUUUGGUGAACCUUUGUUGCUUCCUGGAAUGGAUUAAUGCUGAUGAAACUGCACUUAUCCUCUUUAUAUCUUGGGUGAUGUUUGUGAAAGAAAAGAGUAACGUCCUGUCACUUGUCCUUUACUCCCAAAUUCUAAUUACUAUAAAAAAUUAAAUCCCACUUACAAAGUCUUGAACUGUACAAACAACUUGUUCCAGUACAAGUGCAGGCCAUUGACCAUUUUUCAAGGACAGGAUGAACAAGACUAAAAAGAGUUUGAAAUUCACCAAGGAAUGUCGUGGAAUAUAGGAUCUGGAGAGAAUAUCACCAUAGCUGAAAUCAAAGACAUGGCUGAAUCCUCAAAAAUUUUUUGCUGAAACCACCCACCAUACAAAUUUGGUACAUCUUUUUCACAAUAAAAACAAUAAAAGGCCCUCAAAAUCUGACAA